rnacentral:rRNA from 1 species
CGCGUAGACGGUUUUGUAAGUCAGAUGUGAAAUCCCUGGGCUCAACCUGGGAACUGCAUUUGAAACUGCAUGGCUAGAGUAUGGUAGAGGGAAGUGGAAUUUCCGGUGUAGCGGUGAAAUGCGUAGAUAUCGGAAGGAACACCAGUGGCGAAAGCGACUUCCUGGACCAAUACUGACGUUCAUGUGCGAAAGCGUGGGGAGCAAACAGGAUUAGAUACCCUGGUAGUCCACGCCAUAAACGAUGACAACUAGAUGUUGGGAGGGUCUACCUCUCGGUGUCGCAGCUAACGCGUUAAGUUGUCCGCCUGGGGAGUACGGCCGCAAGGUUGAA